AGGAUGAACGCUGGCGGCGGUGCCUAAGGACGAUGCAAGUCGAGUGGGUUUAGACCCACGGCGAACGGGUGAGUAAUACCUAGGAAUGUAUCUUUAGUCGAGCAUAUCCUCCCGAAAGGGAGAGCAAAUUCUCGAUGUGAACGCAAGUUUAAAGUCGCAAGACGCUAAAGAAGCAGCCUGGGCACCAUCAGCUAGUUGGUAAGGUAAAAGCUUACCAAGGCUAUGACGGUUAGGGGCCCCGAGAGGGGAGACCCCCACACUGGAACUGCGACACGGUCCAGACUCCUACGGGAGGCAGCAGUUUGGAAUUUUGGACAAUGGGCGAAAGCCUGAUCCAGCGACGCCGCGUGGACGAUGAAGGCCUUCGGGUCGUAAAGUCCUUUUGCUCGGGAACAAGUUUUUGAGCGUACCGAGAGAAGUAAGAGGUUGCUAACUCUGCGCCAGCAGCCGC
rnacentral:rRNA from 1 species